GUAAUGACAGUCUACCCACCAAGUACUGUGGCCAGGGCACCUGUCAGCUGAAGACCACUGGCCAGCCUGAGUGUAUAUGUAACCCCAACUAUGAGGGGGAGUUCUGUCACAUCCAUUCAGACCUGCCGUCACAACUCUCAUUUGAAGCAGUAGUUGGCCUGAGUAUAAGCUUUACAGUCCUACUUAUAAUACUGGGGAUAUUUGGCAUCUCUUACUACUGCUUAAAAGUCAGAAAAACUGGAAAACCUCAGGAUGCCGUAUCAACAACCUCAAGAGAUGAAUAUUUUUCUCAUGGUUCUGAAUAUUUUUCUCAUGGCUCUGAACAAGGUAGAUAUUACAAUGCCUCUUUUGAUGGAUAUGAGAUACCAUUACCAGUAGAAGAAAAUGACUACUGUAUGAUACCAGAGCAGCACUAACAUCCUCGGCCAUGUUGGAUUACCCAACCCCACAUACCAGAGGGGUGGAUUGAGGCAGUCUUCUGGGUCUUCCAGAAGAUGAUCAGAUUUCCAAGUUUAAAUUGAUGGGUAUCUAAUUUUUUUCUAUCUGAAGACAGCCAAAAAUGGAGGAAGAUAAUUUGGAAGACUGUCAGAAAAUAUCACUGGAUUCACCCCUGUACCAGAAGACCCUGCAUUUGAAGGCACAUUAAGCAGAUACAGUCAAUAAUCUUACUUUUCAUCAUAUACAUAUAACUGGCCAUGUUUGAAGUUUUUUCUCUCAGCUACAAUGGCAAUUUGCCAAAAUGGUAUUUUUUUUAAUUAAACCAAACUAAGUUGAAAUUUACCUUGAGGAUUAUGCUAUAGAACAGAAAUAACAUUUGAUACAAAUGCUGACUGCAAUUAUCACCUUAUCCAAAUUAACGAAAAGGAGGAACUGAUAGCUGUUAACAGAAUCACAAUGCAUAGGCAAAAAGUAAAGGAAAGGAUGACUUAAUGUUGAGUUAUAAAUGUGAUGACUUAUUUCACACAGAUACAGAUGGGAGGUCAUUUUAAUGUUUCACUUAGAUUAUCUUAUCCAACACUUGUAUUAUAUAUUUGAGGUGGAAUGAGAUACAAUUUGAAGUAGAGUUCUGCAAUGAUUGCCUGCAAUCUUAUAGGGAAUGGCCAGUUGGUAUUCUACAUGGUAAAGCUGCCCUUGACAUUCAAUUAUUGCAGAAAGGUUUUUCAUGCGUAGAUGAUAAUCUGAUAUAUCUUCACAAAUAUAGUUGUAUUGCACUGUUUGGAGUUUUCAGCAGUUUUAUGUUCACUUCAAUUAUGUGGUGUAUAUCAAAGGUUUCUGUACAAUUUUAUUGUAUACUGUUUGUAGAUCGAUCUAAUCUCUGGAAAUGGGGUCUUACACUGUAUAAUAUAAUGUAAGAAAGUAAUUCUAAAAGUUAACUGCCUGUAUAUGCUUGUGGCAGAUUUUUAACUUACAAAUAACAUUCAUGAAUAAUAUUCUUAGUAAUAUUCUAAUUUUAAUUUGUUAAGUUUUUCAAAUUUUUACAAGUUAUUAAAUAUUGGUAAAAGUAUAUGAGAAAAUAUUUUUUAUAAAACAUUUGUAAAACAGUCACAAUUUACAGAGUAGCAUAUCAUUGAAACCUGAAGCCCAGUGUGGGCAGUUAUUUUUCUGAAAGCUUUUUAAAUGAAUAUAUUAAUUUAAAGACUGCAUUCUUUGAGUUCGUUGCUAUUUAUGAAACUUGACAGCAAA